UUUUACCAAAAGAAGAGUGGUGACAACUAGUCUCAUCUGGUAUUCUCCAAGUUCCCAGUUCAAACCUGCAAGGUUUUCUUAGCCUGCCCAACUUUUGCUCAUUGCUGCUGACUCUGAAGAAAUUAUGAGCUUGUGCUUGAUUUUUCCUAUUGGAAAGAGGUCCACUCAGAUCAUUUGGGCUUCUCAGCUGCAUAAAGAUACUGCAGAAGUAUUAAGAGUGGUAUGCAUGUCUCCACAAAGUCAGCAGCAAGCAGCAGCAUUGCUAUGA
rnacentral:lncRNA from 1 species